AUUUUUGUAUUUUUAGUAGAGACGGUUUCACCAUGUUGGUCAGGCUGGUCUCGAACUCCUGACCCCAUGAUCCGCCCGUCUUGGCCUCCCAAAGUGCUGGGAUUACAGGAGUGAGCCACUGCGCCCGGCCAGAAUCUUUAUCUUUACUUAAUGUAGAGGAAAGGUGCAUCCCAAUAAAACACAGAUAAUUUGUAUAUUUUAACAGGAUCAAAUAAAUUUUUAAGUGACCAUUAUUUUAAAUGGCAUGAGAAUAAACAGACUUCUAUGGAAUUGCAGUGAAAAUUUCCUUCUAAUAAUACAAGGUUGAAGCCCUCAGAAAAAAAAAGAAAAAAAUCAUUUAAAAAUCCACAAUUUCAUAAAAUAAAUUUUAUAAUUUUACUUCUGCAAAAUAAAGUUAUGAUCACUCCUAAUUUAUUGACAUUAUUCACUUAUUAGUACAUUUCUCAAGUUUUUGCCAUAAUUCUUACUUGCAUCUACGUAAUAAGUAAAAUGAAAACAAUAAUAGUUCUUCAGAAACAUCUUUGAAACAAGAAAAAUAAAUGCAUUCAUAUAGUUCGAGAUAAAACACGUCUAUCACAAAGGACAAAAAUGAGCACUUAUGGGUGUUUACAUUCUAAAGCAAGAAAGUGAAGCACUAAUUUUCAAGUUUAAUACUUUAAAAAUUAAUGCUCUGUGGUUAAAAUAGUUUAUUACCUUCCUCCCAGUUUUUUAAUUUGAUUUCACAGCAAACUAAUGGUGCUCCCACUCUGCCAGUAUUGUAGUCCCACACUAGGAAUUAAAUGAAAAAAAGGAUAUUUGAGAACAGUAGCUAAUACACUGCUUCAUUUUUCUAAAUUACCAAAAAUGAUUAUUUAUCCUAAGGCUGAGGUAUCCCCAGCUAUUCCUUAAAAGCAGAAGUCACAUAUUGGUGAAGCACAGGCCGUGAGGCCUGUAGAGUCGUAUUUUUUGGCCUACAUUGAGGUUUUUUUUUUUUUUUUAAAUUAGUUAUUGUCAUUCUUAAAAAAUCAGGAAAUUUUAGAUGUAAGUGUGGAAUCGCCAGCAACAAUGGGCCCACAUUUCAGGUACAGCAGAACUGACGGCCUCUGUUAGAGAGGGCAUGCCUGCUCCUGUUCCCUCAGAAUCAAUCCUUACCCAUCACAUUGUCUUACAUUAGGGCCCACUUGACUCAUUUAAAUAGGUAGCUGCCUGGUUCUUGAGUUUGAAAUCCCUGUCUUAAAGGAUGAUGAAAACAAUGGUUUACGUCUAUUCUACUUUCUUAUUAGGCCUCACCGAUGUGCAGUAUAAAACACCUCUCUAAUCUUUUCCCAUGUAAUGUAUCACCAUUUCAAAGUGAGAUCUCUGCAGGCUUCCAUCAGCUUAUGCUAUCACACCCUAUUUAAAAUUAAUACAGCAAUAGCUCAAGAGCCAGGCUGAAGAAUAAGACUGGUGGCUUUCAAGGAUGUGAGGAAAGAACCCUCCACUAUUAUGAAUUACUAUUGCAUUAUGUUUCCUCUUCAAAGACCAAAUAUCAGAAAUGAAAGGCUGAUAUUUAACAUUUUAAAGACUUUUAUUUAAAACAUAAACUGUUACUGAUUAAUCAUUCAAUUUGAAUCUUAAAAAUAGAAGAAAUUAAGGAUCCUCAGAAGAAAGAAAUCCCCUAUGCAUGUAUUUAAGAUUGCUUAUUUCCUACAAAACAUGACUUAGAACUAGCUUCCAAAAAUAUACGAAAACAGAGAACAUAACUGAAAAACAGAAAAAUGAAGUAAUACAUGAAAAUGGUAUACAGAGCCACUCAAAAUAAAUAGGGAAAAAUCAGUCAUGAGGUUUUGUAUCUAUCCGUAUAUGGCAAAUACAAAGUAGGAGAAGCACAGCUGUAUCCUGUACCGGAAAGCAAAAUAACUUUCUCCCAUAAAAGGGACGCAUGAGGCCCUAUGCGAUUCAUCUCAGAACUGCUGAUUAGUUGGUAGAUCUCCUCCUCAAACACAACCACAUGAUAAACUCUGGUAAUAAUAUUCCCUAGACCAGAACUUAGUUCCUUCUCUAACACUUACAGAAAUCCUCAUAAACAUUUCUGAACCUGAGCCUUAAUAUACUCACCUACACAAAUAAACAAAAGCACCUUAAGUUUUCUACAUAAAAAGAAAUUUAAUCACUGAUGUGAGAAAAUAAAUGUACACAAAACAGUCAGUGUUUGUUACUAAAGUUUCUCUUCCAAAAUGCUAAGUGGUUUUUAAUAUUACCUAUCAGUUUGAUAUAAAAACUUCUCCAGAUAAAUUAUUGACUCCAGAUGCAUCUAAUACAUUCUAAAAAUUGAUAUCAAUGAUCAUAGUACUUGGAAUCCACCAUUAUUCUGCCUCACAAACACCUUACUACUCUUCUCCUAUAUAUUUGCAGAAAAUAUCCCAUACCCCAAAAAAACGUCUGGCAUCACACUCCAGCCUCUGACCAUGGAGAACACUACCUUCGGAAAUUGUUCCAGCCCCAGCAGAUUCAGUGAGCCCGUAUCCCUGACCAACAGGACAGCAGAAACAGAUGUUCAUGAAUCGCUGCGUGGUUGCAGAAAGUGGAGCGCCACCACACAACAGGAGACGAAUAUUUCCCCCUAGCAAGCUUCGAACUUUCCGGAAAACAAAGCUAAAGAAAAAAAUUAGAGAACCACAGGAUUUUAAAACUGAAUGGGAUUUUCCAAAUCACUUAAACUAAUCCCCCAGUUUUGAUAUGAGAGAUUUUGAGAUUAAGUUACUUAUCCAAGGUCACACAGCCAAUUUGGAGAGUCUCUUGAGCCCCAAAUGUUAAUUUUUUGAAGUUCAACAAGGUAAAGAAUUUAUUAUUUCCUCUUAAGAGCUUUUCAAGUGAUAUUCGAAUUUGAAUUGUCAGGUUUAGUUUUGUAUAGUGACAGGAAAACCCUUGCUUAUGGCCACUUUUAUAUCAUUAUUUACAUAAAAUAUUUAUCAUAUAUUAAUACUGAACAAUUCUAUCAUCUUUAUGAAAUGUAUUAAAAUCAAAUUAAUUUUUGCUUUAAUGUACUUUAUUAGAAAUGUGUAUAAUUUGUAUACCACAAUCUGUUUUUGAAGUUUCACUAAUUCAAGCUUUGAAUUGUUUGUUAAAAAUAAUCUAGUAAAUUAUCUGUGAAGCAUUUAAAAAAGGAAACAAGUUAAACAUCUAAUUGAUGUUUCUGAAAAUACACUAAUACAAAGAUUGCAUACUGCCUUGAUCAAAAAGGAGAGGUAGUACUUAAAAAAAAAAAUCUUUGCAAAAGGUGAAGACUACACGGUGACAAUUUUUUAAAAAUGGUAUUAACAGACUUUUCAAAUCAGCUUUUACAGUUAUCCCUUGGCAUCCAGUCCUCUGGAUACCAAAACCCUCAGAUGCCUAAGUCCCUUAUAUAAAACGGCAUAGUAUUUGCAUAAAGCCUACACACAUCCUCCAAAAUACUUUAAAUUAUCUCUAGAUUACUUAUAAUACCUAAUACAAUAUAAAUUCAUUGUAAAUAGUUGUUAUACUGUAUUUUCUUUUCCACUGUUAUAUUUUAUUGUUUUUUCCCCAGAAUACUUUUGAUCCACGGUUGGUUGAAUCUAAAGAUGUGGAACCUGUUGAUACAGAGGGCCGACUUUACAACUCACUGAAGAAAUAACUAACGUAAGGCAGGAAAAAAACUUACAAAGUUCUAAAUUAUGUGAAGCAUCUGAAAACUAUAUUAAUAUUACCAUAAAAAAUACUUUGAAUGUCAUACUUCCAUUUUCUAACUUCUAAGCUAUUUUAUGAUCAAAUCAUAAAUCUAUGUACUCUAUUAACACUACACAAAUACAAGCUGGAACAAAACUGAUCAUUUAAAGCUUUAAAUACAAAACAUUUAAUUAUAUUCAUACUGAAAUAAAUAUAAAAGCAAAAGAGAAACUAUUUCUCAAAAUAAUUAAAACUCCCUAAGUGUUCACAGAAAAUAUAAACUCACAAAUAGCAAAAUCUUAAGUGAAAACACACUUUUAAUGACAUUGCAGGUUUUUUAAACUGCUCAUACUAUUACAAAGGUUUUUUGUUUGCUUGUCUUUUAAAGAGACAGAGUCUCACUUUCACCCAGGGUGGUGUGCAGUGGUGCAGUCAUUGCUCCCAGGCCCAAAUAAUCCUCCCACUGGGGGCCCAAACAAUCCUCCUACUUCAGUCCCUGAAGUAGCUGGGAUUACAGAUAUAUGACACCAUGCCCAGCUAAGCAGAGAAGGAAUCUUGCUAUGUUGCCCAGGCUGGUCUUGAUUUCCUGGCCUCAAGCAAUCCUCCCAUGUCAAGAUGGAUUUUUUUUUUUUUUUUUUUUUUGAGACAAGAGUCUCGCACUCUGUCACCCAGGCUGGAGUGCAGUGGCACGAUCUCGGCUCACUGCAACCUCUGCCUCCCGAGGGAGUUCAAGCAAUUCUCCUGCUUCAGCCUCCCUAACAGCUGAGACUACAGGCACAUGCCACCACUCUGGCUAAUUUUUGUAAUUUUAGUAGAGAUGUGGUUUUGUCACGUUGGCCAGGCUGGUCUUGAAUUCCUGACCUCAGGUGAUCUGCCCGCCUUGGCCUCCCAAAGCACUGGGAUUACAGGAGUGAGCCACCGUGUUCAGCCAGGAUGGAUUUUUUUUUUUUUUUUGAGACGGAUUCUCGCUCUGUCGCCCAGGCAGACAGAUCGUGCAGUGGCGCAAUCUUGGCUCACUGCAAGCUCCGCCUCCUGGGUUCGCACCAUUCUCCUGCCUCAGCCUCCUGAGUAGCUGGGAUUACAGGCGCCCGCCACCAAGCCCCGCUAAUUUCUUUUUGUGUUUUUAGUAGAGACGGGGUUUCACUGUGUUAGCCAGGAUGGUCUCGAUCUCCUGACCUCAUGAUCCACCUGCCUCGGCCUCCCAAAGUGCUGGGAUUACAGGCAUGAGCCACCGCGCCUGGCCUGGGAUGGAUUUUUUUUAAAGAGUUCUCUUGACUUUAUGAAAUAUAUUUCUUUCUUAUAACUAUCUCAAUUAAUUGGGCUAUUAAUGUGAACUAAAUGAUUAAAUUAUCAAGAGGAGAAAGAAGGAGGUAGAGAGUCUUUACUUACCUGUCGCACAGUGGAGUAUUACGUCCUUUUGAAAUCUGUUCCAUUUUGUAAUUAUAGGCCAGAAUAAACAGAUUACGUUGAAAACUACUCAUUUCACUGACUUUAUUCAUGACAUUUUUGUAGAUCCGAUCCAUGAUUUCCUAAAUGUAUAAAAAUGAGUUUAACAUAGUUAAUAAUAACAGCUGCCUUACAUAUUCACUUAGCAUUAGAUUAACAUUUCUAGCAAUAUUAAGGCAUUUUAAAAGAAGUACUCUUCAACUGUGGAUGUGAUUCAGCAAGAAGGAAAAAACCUUUUGUGAAUUUUUCAAAAAGAUGUAUCCUAUCAAGAUCAAACUUUUAAAAUCGAACCACAAUUAGUUUAAAAAUAAAGUUUCCACAAAAAUAAUUUUUAAAAGCAGAAAUAUAUCUAGAUACUCAUAUAAAUUGUAAGAUAUUCUUUAUAUUGCUUUGCUUAUCUUACUAAUUCUGAACUAAAACCUACUCACAAAAUAAACGAACAACCGUCUGAAAUGGUUUUUCAAAAUGUCCUAACUUUAUCUUAUAAAAAUAUACAGUACCACAUUCUUUGCUCACAAAAAGACCAUGCAACGUUUGGGAGUUUUUGUUUGGCUAUUUGACUUUCGAUAUUGCACCAGGAAGUUUUCCUUGUCUGUGCUGCAUUUUGCUUGCUAGGUCCAUUACUGUGAAGUAUACUUUAAUGACUUAAAAUAAUGUUUCCUCCACAACUUUAAAUUGUACGUCAUUUUUAAGUGAACUAAGAAUUUAAGUUGGAUACUAAAGAAACUAUAAUUAUAGAAAGAAACUACUGAUUAUUUAUAUUUGACUUUGAAGUAACUAUGUAAUUAUUCUUGACGUAAGCAUUUAGGUACCCGACAAUAAUUCCCAUCAUUUCCAAACAAACUCAGCCUAUGUUAUAAGGAGCCAGAAAAUCACUGCUGCCCCAUUUCCCUUGUCUUAUUCCCAGGCCCCUAUAUUAUGUAAGGAUGAACAGCCCCUCUUAAGUCAUUCAAAGCUGCACCAGCUUCUCUGUCACUUUGUUUGGUGUUUAGGCCAGACUUUCCCUGAGGACUCAGGAGGUAACUAUACAGCUUGCUUAAAAGGAGGUGAUCUCACACUUUCCCUCCUAGCUCUCAAUAGGCUUCAAGUGUCAAUGAAUUCACCAACAGAUAUCAUGAAAAUAAUUUUUAUUUUAACAAGAAGGUAUUUAGGCAAACAAGUUGAUAAUUACACACAGAAGCUGAAAUUAAGUUGAGUGCUUAGUAAAUAAGAAAGCAAGCUAAAACAAGACUGAAGAAAUCCCAUAGCGCCUAAGGCAAUAUUUAUAAUCAAUAAGGAAUAAAUCCUACAUAAACUACCUUGUCAACAAUAUAUUUUUCACUAGCACUAAUGCUUUGUAGCGGGUGAUACUUCUUUAAUACUCAAUAUUAAAUAAGGGUCACUUCUUACCGGAACUGCUGCCAUCAGUGUUGGUUUCAACAUGGAUGUAUCCCCUUUGCUUCCUUUUUUAAUUUUUGAAGACUACAAAAUAAGAAAAAGUGAUCCAUAUAAAGUGAUCCUUAUUUUUAAAAUUCAAUGGUAUUCUUAGAUCAAAAAGCCUAUUAUAAAUUAUUUUAAUGUACUUACAGUCUAAGAAGCACUUAAAAGGCUAAAGCUCAUUUUAAAAUGAACCAUCGCUCUCGCAAUAUACUGUCAUACUGACUGAAAAAAAUGCAUUACAAUUCACUAUGAUUUUUUAGUAUUUCAAGUCACAGACACUGAACUUACCUGAUCUGCUAAAGUCUGUGGUGAAGAGUAACCAAUGCGGCAUCCGUGAGAAAGACAGACAAGCUCAGCACUUAAUUCUAGAACAUGGGCCAGAGGCAAAUAUCCAAUGUAGACAUCUUCCUCUCUAAAAGAAAAGGGAGACGUCAGAAACAAAAGUCAGGUGUCGUCUAUGCCAAAAGUGCCCUAUAAUGGGAGCAAGCUUGAAGGCACAUGGAAGGGCCCCAGGGCAUCAAUUUGCUGGUCAAGUGUGUAUGUGUUUGUGAGAGAGAGAGAGAGACAGGUGAAAACAGAGGAUAGGCAGAUGCUGGGGAUGGGAGGGAAAAAGAAUUACAGCUCAACCCAAAAGCAAGGAGGCGCACACUUGCAGGAAGGAAUGCUGUUUCCCGUCCUACUUAAAAGCACUCAGGAAUUAUAAGCGUUGCUGAAGCAAAGUACUGAGGCACAAGAAACAGUGGCUUAAACAAAUAAUAAUACAGGGUUCUUUUGAAGAACAGAAGAAAUCAUCCAAGGAGGAAAUGGUCUUUACAUCUAGUGGGUUGCCAACCAGAAGAGUUAAAGUAGAAUCCACAACUAUCUGCCAGAAAUUUUACAGAUAAGACUCUUGUUGUGGGAAUUGGAUUACAUAAUAAAUUAGAUCUUAAUAUACAGAAAAUGUGUAAGUAUUUGUAUAUACUUCAAGAGCUGCCCCCAUAACCAAAAUAUAGAAGGUAACUGAGGCAAACCUGUAAGAAAAUUGUUGCACUUAAUUUUUUCUGAAAUGUAUGCAUACGUAAGAGACAUUCCUCCAUCCCCAAGUUCAGUACCAUAGCAAUUACGUGAGUGUGUGUGUGCGUGUAUGUUUGUAAUUUCUGUGCAUAAAAGCAUCAAAAAUAUCCAACCACUGUACCCUAUCGGUCAUCAGAAUACCAAUUGCAUCUCUGGCAAUGUUUCCUUGACAGUCCCUCAAACUUCCAUCUGGUUUCCUCCAUCAGUCUCUUCCCCACUCCACUCUACCUUCCACUGCUACCACUGGAGUUUGUAUUAACAAGAAAAAUCAGAGACCAAAUACUGAAGCUCAACAAAUACUUAGUGGAUAAAUUAAGUUACCUGUUCACCUGAAUUGUAUUUAGAUAUAAAAAAAACUACAGCAGCAAAUACAAGCUGAUUAAAACAAAGGAUUUACAACUAUACAAAUUUAAGUUCUGUACUUUUUAAAAUAUAUCUAUAUGAUAUAUUUUCAACCUCACAACUAUAACUAUUUUGCCAUUAAUUUUAAUGUCCUUUUUUAUUUUUUAAGGAAAUGCCUACUACAAACAGACUCUGAGGGACUAAUUUAGCCAUAUAUUAAUAAAAUGACACAAAUGCUAACAUUAUAACAGACAUAAAUACUUAACUACUCAAUGUUACUUUACUAUGACAUACCCUAGUUCUGGAAUCCUUUCUGCCAUCCCAGUUAUACCAGCAAUAAUGUUACUAUGUGAGAUCAUGACUCCCUUUGGAAGUCCUGUGGAUCCACUUGUGUACAUGAUUACUGCAAUAUCUGAGGGCAAUGGUUUGCUAUGAGGUUGGUUUUCUGCAUUGAAGAGAAAAAACACACACAUACACUUUCAUGAGAUUCAGCUGUAUCAACAAUUUCUUUUCAUUAUCAUCAAAUAAAUAACUCAAUCAAAUUGAGUUAAUUUAACUCAAUUCAACAAAUAUUAGUUAUACUGAGAUCAACAAAACAGAUCAAGUCCCUGCACGUAUGGGAGAUAUAUUCUAUUGAGAUAUACAAACAGAUUAACCUAUGAAGAAAACUGAAGCAAGACAAGGUGAGAAGAUGACAAUAGAUGCUAUUUGGAUGGAAAAGCCUGGAGACCGUCUCUGUAGAGUUUCGUUUAGCAAAGGCCUGAAUAAAGUGAGGAAGGGAGCCAUGGAAACCCUGGAACUGGGAGAAGAGUGUUCUAAUUAGAAGGAAAUAAGCAAAUGCAAAGACCCAAAGGUAGGAAUGUGCUCAGCAUAUCUAAAGACCAGCAAGGAGUGUGGCUGGAACAGAGUGAGCAAGAGGAAGAGUGGCAAGAAACAAUAGUCAAGUGGCUAUCAGGGACCACACAUAGGACCUCAAAGGCCACGGGAAGAACUCUGGAUUACGUUCUGGAUGUAAAGCAAUGUUGUUUUGAACAGGAGUAUGUUAUUAUCUGUGAAAAAAAAGAUCACUUUGGCUGCUGUGUGGCUAACUAACUUUACAAGGGGAAAAAAGGUAUCAGGGAGACAAGAUUAUCCCAGUAAUUCAACUAAGAAAUAAAGGUAGCUUUGGACUAGAGUAUCUAGGUGUUUGCUAAAAACUAUUCACUGCUUCAGAAUGGUGACUAACUUGGUUACACUCAGAGUCCUGCAUUAAAACACGAUGUGAACCAUUUGAAAUCAGAAGAGUACCAGCCUAAGGACAACAGCUGAGAAGCUAUAGAGGUGGCACAGCAGAAGAACAAAGAGAAAUAGGUCAUGGUUGGCAUUGCUGAUAUGUCUGAACCACUCCCAGAACUACUCUACAUGUGAACUUCUAAAUGAGUGUGAAAAAAUUAUUUAAAUGUACUCCCAAUAGAAUACCCUUCCUCUCCUGUCAGUCAAGAUACAUUUCUUAAAUAAUGUUUACACUUGGAAGUCUUUACUUCCAAAUCAGCCCUUCACUCCUUCAAUGCACAGCACCCUUCUCCAACACCACCACUUCUUGGAAAUUACAAUCCUUGUGUCAUCUGACCUCUGCAUGCAGCCCCUGAUCCUGCUGAUGACUCACCAAGAUCUCCUUUCCCUUGGCUUCCAGGAACCACAUACUACUAGAUAUUUUCUUCUUUCCUCUCUGACUAGUCCUUAGUAGCCUCUGAAGCCACCAUUCCCUGUUGGUGACCUCACCCCCUACUCCCACAGCUAUAAUUAAAACCUAACUGCUUCUAGCUUCCAAAUCUCUAAGUCCAAACAUAACUCGAGUACUAGACUUUUACACACCACUGUCCACAAUAUAUCUGCAUCUAAAUAUCCCACUACCACUCAAAUUCCAGGUGCCUAAAAUUUGAGUUGAGUGAAUGCUUACAUCUAAUUACUAGGUUUCCAACUACAGAGGAAAUGCAGUCCCAGCAUCCCAGCAGCUUUUGCAGUAUCUCUAAACACUAGUACACUAGCUAACAUUUUCUGACGCUUUUUUGAGAAUAGGAACUUGUAGAGUCACCAUGCCUAGGUGUGCUAGUUGGAGGGUAAGGUUUUCACCUCAGGAAAGGGAAGAACUGGAACAGGGAGUAAAAGGAGGCCUCCAGGUUUAGCCACUCUGUUAACACUUACAGGUAAUUCACAUAGGACAAGAUAAAUGUCAUUAUUUAUAAACUAACUUUAAACCACCCAAAACUAUCACCAUAAAAAAGAAAUGAAAACUGAAUGUAAAAUAUUUUAAAUUUCAAAUAAAUACUACCUUUAAAACAUUAAUAAUUAAUGUUUAUAUUUUUCCUUAAAACUUUCUUUAAAGACAAGAUGAAAGUAUACCUAGAGGGACCUGUUUUCCUAACUGAUGUUAGAAAACUGAUGUGUC
rnacentral:lncRNA from 1 species